rnacentral:lncRNA from 1 species
UGGUGGAUGUGUAUUGUUUGGCCUAAAAAGGGGAGAGGUGAACGGAAAAGACAGAGACAUGGAGUAACACAGUAGUGAGACCAGUGAAGCAGUGAGAGAGGGGAAGAGAUGCACUGCUAGUACUGCUAGGGCUUUUAGGUGGUGAAGGGUGGAAAAGGGACACUGACUGAGAGCUCAAAGGUGACAUGACAAAAGUAAAUAUUUUUAUUUUUAUUGAUAGGUUGGUGUACGGCCAAAACGGCGGUGUCCACGUUAUUUCUGUUUCGUGGUCAUUUGAUGUCACAGGUGAUCUCAAACUUCAUAAUCAUAGCAACUUGGCCCUAAAUAUCAACUGCACUACUUUAUUUUGCAUUGACACGGUCUAAAACCAUACCGUACGUUCACCAGUGCAUAUACUCCUCCGUUCCAUAAGCCCUGAUUUCAAAAAAGAAAAGAAAAAACAUAAGCCCUGAUUUUGUUGUUUUUUUGGGGGG